rnacentral:piRNA from 1 species
AAUUCAGGACCUCUGGAAGAGCAGCC